rnacentral:rRNA from 1 species
UACGAAGGGGGCUAGCGUUGUUCGGAAUUACUGGGCGUAAAGCGCGCGCAGGCGGUCUUCCAAGUCAGUGGUGAAAGCCCGGAGCUCAACUCCGGAAUUGCCAUUGAAACUGUGAGACUGGAGUACGAGAGAGGUGAGUGGAAUUCCCAGUGUAGAGGUGAAAUUCGUAGAUAUUCGCAAGAACACCAGUGGCGAAGGCGGCUCACUGGCCCGAUACUGACGCUGAGGCACGAAAGCGUGGGGAGCAAACAGG